AGCUGGAACCAUGGAGGGUGCAGAAGAGAAGAAGAAGAAGGUUCCUGCUGUGCCAGAAACCCUUAAGAAAAAGCAAAAGAAUUUUGCAGAGCUUAAGAUCAAGUGCCUGAGAAAGAAGUUUGCCCAAAAGAUGCUUCGAAAGGCAAGGAGGAAGCUUAUCUAUGAAGAAGCUAAUCACUAUUACAAGGAAUACAGGCGGAUGUACAGAACAGAAAUUCAAAUGGCUAGGAUGGCAAGAAAAGCCGGCAACUUCUAUGUACCUGCAGAACCCAAGUUGGCAUUUGUCAUCAGGAUCAGAGGUGUCAACGGUGUGAGCCCAAAGGUUCGAAAAGUGUUGCAGCUUCUUAGCCUCCAUCAGAUCUUCAGUGGCACCUUUGUGAAGCUCAAUGGCAUCGUUAUGAAUUCUCAGAAUGUUAAUGAACAUGCUGAGAAUUGUGGAGCCGUACAUUGCGGGGGGGCACCCAAACCUGAAGUCAGUAAGUGAACUGACCUACAAGCAUGGUUAUGGCAAACUCAACAGAAGCGAAGUGCCCUGAUAGAUGACACCUUGGUGGCUCCAUCUCUUGGCAAGUAUGGCACCAUCUGCAGGAAAGAUCUGAUUCAUGAGAUCUAUACCAUUGGAAAACAUUUCAAAGAAGCAGACAACUUGCUGUGGUCCUUUAAAUUGUCUUCUCCACGAAGCAGAAUGAAGAAAAAGACCGCCCAUUUGGUAGAAGGUGGAGAUGCUGGCAACAGGGAAGACCAGAUCAACAGGCUUAUUAGAAGGAUGAACUAA